rnacentral:tRNA from 2 species
GCGGGCGUAGCUUAGUGGUAAAGCACUAGCCUUCCAAGCUAGCUAUGAGGGUUCGAUUCCCUCCGCCCGCUCCA